GCAGGACCAGCGGGACAAACUACUCAUCCCAGCAUGCAUCGCGCGGAGAGCCACCCCUUGGGUUUUUUUGUUUUUUUGUUUUUUUUUCCUUUCCAAGAGCCGGGCAAGUCUGACUGUGAGGUCAGGUUUUUACCGUGUUUUCUCGCCUCUGUUCUCUCCUGCGAGCAAGGGCUCGUUUUAGCUCCUCUUGUUUCGCAAAGUUAGUGUUCAGACCGCCAGCUGACUCCUGGGAAGAAGCAUAAAUGAUGUCUCUCCAGUAUUCUGCUAGCAGCCUUCAGAUGAAGGUGUAGAACUCUCAGCUCCUCCUGCACCAUGCCUGCCUGGAUGCUGCCAUGUUCCUGCCUUGAUGGUAAUGGACUGAACCUCUGAACCUGGUUGAUUGUUCUAUUUCUGAGAUCUCUGAGACCCAGCCCUCCAGGAACAAACAAAUGUGGAAAUGAGACAGGCUGAGGGCUUACUAAACAGAACUCUGCAGUUCCUGCCCCAGGGUUGGACCAGUGUGUAGAAAAUUGCUUAUGGGAUUCUUUGAAUGACUUUUUCGUUGCGGGAAAUAUUAAAAAUGAACCCGCCAACUCUCCACACUCCUGCUUCUCUCAAGCCACCAACUCAAGAGCUCUGUCUCUGCCUCCUAAGUGCUGGAAUUAAAGGUAUGUGCCACCAUGCCUU